UUCAGACUUGUGCUCUUCCGAUAUGGAUAGUCUUUUUCAAUGCGAUAAAAUAAAGCGACAUCGUGUCUAUUUUUCUUUGCUAAAGGGGUAUUUCCAUGGGUUUGCCUUGGUAUUGUGUUCAUACUGUCGUAUUGAAUGAUCCGGGUCGAUUGCUUGCGGUGCAUAUAAUGCACAUAGCUCAAGUUUCUG